GACGAACGCUGGCGGCGUGCUUAACACAUGCAAGUCGAACGGUAAGGCCCUUCGGGGUACACGAGCGGCGAACGGAUGAGUAACACGUGGGUGAUCUGCCCUGCACUUCGGGAUAAGCCUGGGAAACUGGGUCUAAUACCGAAUAGGACCAAUGCCUGCAUGGGUGGUGGUGGAAAGCCUUUGCGGUGUGGGAUGGGCCCGCGGCCUAUCAGCUUGUUGGUGGGGUGAUGGCCUACCAAGGCGACGACGGGUAGCCGGCCUGAGAGGGUGACCGGCCACACUGGGACUGAGAUACGGCCCAGACUCCUACGGGAGGCAGCAGUGGGGAAUAUUGCACAGUGGGCGCAAGCCUGAUGCAGCGACGCCGCGUGAGGGAUGACGGCCUUCGGGUUGUAAACCUCUUUCAGCACCGACGAAGCGCAAGUGACGGUAGGUGCAGAAGAAGGACCGGCCAACUACGUGCCAGCAGCCGCGGUAA
rnacentral:rRNA from 1 species